AGUGAACGCUGGCGGUAGGCCUAACACAUGCAAGUCGAACGGCAGCACAGUAAGAGCUUGCUCUUACGGGUGGCGAGUGGCGGACGGGUGAGGCAUACAUCGGCAUCUACUUUUUCGUGGGGGAUUACGUAGGGAAACUUACGCUAAUACAGCAUACGAUCUACGGGUGAAAGCAGGGGAUCUUCGGACCUUGCGCGAUUGAAUGAGCCGAUGUCGGAUUAGCUAGUUGGCGGGGUAAAGGCACACCAAGGCGACGAUCCGUAGCUGGUCUGAGAGGGUGAUCAGCCACACUGGAACUGAGACACGGUCCAGACUCCUACGGGAGGCAGCAGUAGGGAAUAUUGGGCAAUGGGCGAAAGCCUGAUCCAGCCAUGCCGCGUGAGUGAAGAAGGCCUUCGGAUUGUAAAGCCCUGUUGUUAGGGAAGAAAAGCAGCGGGAUAAUACCCCGCUGUUCUGACGGUACCCAAAGAGAAAGCACCGGCUAACUUCGUG
rnacentral:rRNA from 1 species